rnacentral:rRNA from 1 species
UACGUAGGGUGCGAGCGUUGUCCGGAAUUAUUGGGCGUAAAGAGCUCGUAGGCGGCCUGUCGCGUCGGAUGUGAAAGCCCGGGGCUUAACCCCGGGUCUGCAUUCGAUACGGGCAGGCUAGAGUGUGGUAGGGGAGAUCGGAAUUCCUGGUGUAGCGGUGAAAUGCGCAGAUAUCAGGAGGAACACCGGUGGCGAAGGCAGGUCUCUGGGCAUUAACUGACGCUGAGACGCGAAAGCGUGGGGAGCAAACAGG